GAUGUAUGGAAAACUUGCAGAAGGAGUUACAGUGGCAACUGCUAGGGAAGGAGAUUACCAUUACUCAUAUUUCAUGUGGUUCACAGACUACCAGGUUAUAUACAGUUUUUAUAUUUCAAAAUAUUGCCAAAAAAUUUAAUGUCAAUGUUUUAAGAGGGCUGGAUGGUCACAGCCAUUUAGAGACUAUUUUAAUCUCCUAAAAAAGAAAAGCUCAGUAUAAAGAUAUAGGAAAAUAUUAUAACUUUUAAGCUGGAAAUAUUUUUUUUAUUUUCUAUGCUUAAUGUUAGUUUAUAGCAAAAAAUUCAUAUGUUUAAAAAAUUUAAGAUAGAAAUAAUGGAUAAUUUGUUGACCACCCAGCCACAUUAACAACAGAAUGAAUUUUGGGCAAUAUGUUUUUAAGAUGGUAAAUAGACGCCUGAUGACACAAACAAUAUGGAAUUAAUGAAUCAUUCUUAUUCUGUUCUAUUUACAUCUACUCUCUACUCUGACAGGGAGUGCCAAAACAAAUCCAAGAGGCGUACCAGGAGGGGGACGUCAGCAUUCCGCCAGGCAUCUUGUCCGGACAGUUUUACAGCUCACUGAAGAGACAUUGUUUUCCAAACUGUCUUCCCGGUUCUGUGAAUUGUUAUGAGCUAAUCAUGAUGCAUGUAGGACUGGUCAAUGUGCAAUAUAUUUUUACUCACAGACAGAUGCUGGCAAAACAGUUCUUUGAAGCAUCUGGAGACACACAAAUGAAAUUAGUGCUGUAGUUCAUGUGCUUGUAUGUAUGUAAAUUUAUAAAUUAUACUUUUUCCGGAAUAAAUGUUAUAAACAGAA
rnacentral:misc_RNA from 1 species